GGCCAUAGCUCAGAGGCAGGGCAUCCAAUGCUUUGCAUGCAGAAGGUUCAAGGUUCAAAUCUUGGCACCACCA